UGCGUUCGCACGCCUUUUUCUGGCUCCCGUUCUCUCGCGUUCCGUCGUUGCUCUGGUGCCCUGGACUGCUGUGAAUGUGUUUUUAUGCCCUACUAGUGUUGCCUGGGGGUGCUUUUAUGUGUGCACCCUGGAAGAUAGGUCCAGAAGCCUUGCGAUUUCUUAGAUUAAAGCUAAGUGUACUCGUGACCCUACCAGCACUUUCCAAGAUACUUUCGACGUAUUCAUUGCGGUGAACAACGCUGUUGGGACAGCACACUCACGACGUGGGAAGGUCACAGAAAUGUUGAAAGACAUCAGGUAAGUUACGCUAAAGUGCGUUUCAGAGCUCUUCAGUGACUUGUGUUUACUGCGAAACAGAUUGUGCAUACGCUUCACCCGUGCAACUUCGUCAUGUGCUCCACGGCAGCACAAGCCUUUACGGCUGUGCCACUGUAUGUAAAAAAUGCUGAGUGAUUUUAAUAAAGAAUUUGCAGGGAAGUACAAUGUGUCGCACAUUGUUGACUCUUUUACAGAUGUGUGGAAACGCAGAUGAA